GUGGGGAAUUUUGGACAAUGGGCGCAAGCCUGAUCCAGCAAUGCCGCGUGCAGGAAGAAGGCCUUCGGGUUGUAAACUGCUUUUGUACGGAACGAAACGGUCCUGGUUAAUACCCGGGGCUAAUGACGGUACCGUAAGAAUAAGCACCGGCUAACUACGUGCCAGCAGCCGCGGUAAUACGUAGGGUGCAAGCGUUAAUCGGAAUUACUGGGCGUAAAGCGUGCGCAGGCGGUGCUGUAAGACAGGCGUGAAAUCCCCGGGCUUAACCUGGGAAUUGCGCUUGUGACUGCAGUGCUGGAGUGCGGCAGAGGGGGAUGGAAUUCCGCGUGUAGCAGUGAAAUGCGUAGAUAUGUGGAGGAACACCGAUGGCGAAGGCAAUCCCCUGGGCCUGCACUGACGCUCAUGCACGAAAGCGUGGGGAGCAAACAGGAUUAGAAACCCUUGUAGUCC
rnacentral:rRNA from 1 species